rfam:Triticum aestivum genome assembly, contig: Triticum_aestivum_CS42_TGACv1_scaffold_555983_7AL
AUGGUACUCCCUCCAUUUCGAAUUACUCGUCGCAGAAAUGGAUGUAUCUAGAUGUAUUUUAGUUCUAGAUACAUCCGUUUCUGAGACGAGUAAUUUUGAACAGAGGGAGUAGUAG